rnacentral:sRNA from 1 species
UUUCCGUAGGUGAACCUGCGGAAGGAUCAUUAAAGAGUAAGGGUGCUCAGCGCCCGACCUCCAACCCUUUGUUGUUAAAACUACCUUGUUGCUUUGGCGGGACCGCUCGGUCUCGAGCCGCUGGGGAUUCGUCCCAGGCGAGCGCCCGCCAGAGUUAAACCAAACUCUUGUUAUUUAACCGGUCGUCUGAGUUAAAAUUUUGAAUAAAUCAAAACUUUCAACAACGGAUCUCUUGGUUCUCGCAUCGAUGAAGAACGCAGCGAAAUGCGAUAAGUAAUGUGAAUUGCAGAAUUCAGUGAAUCAUCGAAUCUUUGAACGCACAUUGCGCCCCUUGGUAUUCCGAGGGGCAUGCCUGUUCGAGCGUCAUUACACCACUCAAGCUAUGCUUGGUAUUGGGUGCCGUCCUUAGUUGGGCGCGCCUUAAAGACCUCGGCGAGGCCUCACCGGCUUUAGGCGUAGUAGAAUUUAUUCGAACGUCUGUCAAAGGAGAGGACUUCUGCCGACUGAAACCUUUAUUUUUCUAGGUUGACCUCGGAUCAGGUAGGGAUACCCGCUGAACUUAA